rnacentral:lncRNA from 1 species
UCCACCGUGCAGAUGGAUGCAGCUCCACCGUGCAGAUGGAUACAGCUCCGCCGUGCAGAUGGAUGCAGCUCCGCCGUGCAGAUGGAUACAGCUCCACCGUGCAGAUGGAUGCAGCUCCACCGUGCAGAUGGAUGCAGCUCCACCGUGCAGAUGGAUGCAGCUCCACCGUGCAGAUGGAUGCAGCUCCACCGUGCAGAUGGAUGCAGCUCCACCGUGCAGAUGGAUGCAGCUCCACCGUGCAGAUGGAUACAGCUCCACCGUGCAGAUGGAUGCAGCUCCACCGUGCAGAUGGAUGCAGCUCCACCGUGCAGAUGGAUGCAGCUCCACCGUGCAGAUGGAUGUAGCUCCAUUGGCGGGACGCAUUUUACAUUCAUAAACCAUGUCGUAGGCCGUUCUAAAACUACUCGCUCGCCGUUAACAACUCGUUAACUCAUGUUACCUCAUUAGCUAGCUAGCUAACAACCUGGUAACUUUACCAGUAUAUCCAAAGACACAGAAAGAAUGGUAGAGACUUUCCAUUCUUAAAGAGACAGUGUACAAUUUUCAAAGUAAUGCGUCUCAGUAGGAAAAUAGUGCUUUUACACAAUGUAGAUACCUAAUAAUCCACUAAAGACUUUGUCAUUUCAAUGACAGCUAUUCGUAUCAAAAUUGUAGCUAUAGACUCGGUGUGCAGAGUGCGUGAGUAGGUCAUCUUGAAGCCGUGUACAGAGUGCGUGAGUAGGUCAUCUUGAAGCCGUGUACAGAGUGCGUGAGUAGGUCAUCUUGAAGCCGUGUACAGAGUGCGUGAGUAGGUCAUCUUGAAGCCGUGUGCAGAGUGCGUGAGUAGGUCAUCUUGAAGACGUGUACAGAGUGCGUGAGUAGGUCAUCUUGAAGCCGUGUACAGAGUGCGUAUCUUGAAGCCGUGUACAGAGUGCGUGAGUAGGUCAUCUUGAAGCCGUGUACAGAGUGCGUGAGUAGGUCAUCUUGAAGCCGUGUACAGAGUGCGUGAGUAGGUCAUGUACAGAGGUUUGCUGGGAAAUGUAGUGUGCUUUUUUUUAUUUUAUAGAUUUGUAUUUUUCAUGUAUUUAACCAGAUACGUCACAUUGAGACUUACAUCUCUUUUUCAAGUGAGCCCUGGCCAAGAGAACUGCAUACAUAAAGUAACAUGACAGACACAACAAAACAUAAAACAUAACAAUAAAUGGAAGUUAAAAGUGUGCAAAGUGCAUAAGAGAGCUUAAAGGGACAAUCAGCAGUUUCUACAUCCAUUUCUGGAAAAAUUCAUGAAUUAUAUUUACCCAUUGAUUGAUGAAGAAUAGAACUUGUAAAUGCCUAGUGAGCUGAAUUUAACUGUCGUACCCCAUCAGAACCCAAACGUAAGUUUGUUUUAUUUACUCCAAUGUUAGUAAACAAAGUAAAUGUAAUUUUUUUUUAAUUUAACUAUAAUUUUGAUAUCAUGG